rnacentral:rRNA from 1 species
UACGUAGGGUGCAAGCGUUAAUCGGAAUUACUGGGCGUAAAGCGUGCGCAGGCGGUUUUGUAAGUUUUGUCGUGAAAUCCCCCGGGCUCAACCUGGGAAUUGCGAUGAAGACUGCAAGGCUAGAAUCUGGCAGAGGGGGGUAGAAUUCCACGUGUAGCAGUGAAAUGCGUAGAGAUGUGGAGGAACACCGAUGGCGAAGGCAGCCCCCUGGGUCAAGAUUGACGCUCAUGCACGAAAGCGUGGGGAGCAAACAGG